UACGGGGUGCAGCAGGCGCGAAAACUUUACAAUGCUGGCAACAGCGAUAAGGGAACCUCGAGUGCCAGGUUACAAAUCUGGCUGUCGAGAUGCCUAAAAAGCAUUUCAUAGCAAGGGCCGGGCAAGACCGGUGCCAGCCGCCGCGGUAACACCGGCGGCUCGAGUGGUAACCGUUAUUAUUGGGUCUAAAGGGUCUGUAGCCGGCCGGAUAAGUCUCUUGAGAAAUCUGGCAGCUUAACUGUCAGGCUUUCAGGAGAUACUGUCUGGCUCGAGGCCGGGAGAGGUGAGAGGUACUUCAGGGGUAGGGGUGAAAUCUUGUAAUCCUUGAAGGACCACCAGUGGCGAAGGCGUCUCACCAGAACGGACCUGACGGCAAGGGACGAAAGCUAGGGGCACGAACCGGAUUAGAUACCCGGGUAGUCCUAGCCGUAAACGGUACUCGCUAGGUGUCGGCCACGGUGCGACCGUUGUCGGUGCCGUAGGGAAGCCGUGAAGCGAGCCACCUGGGAAGUACGGCCGCAAGGCUGAAACUUAAAGGAAUUGGCGGGGGAGCACCACAACGGGUGGAGCUUGCGGUUUAAUUGGAUUCAACGCCGGAAAUCUUA
rnacentral:rRNA from 1 species